GAAAGACCGUCCUGCCUGGAGAACUCCAACCCCAGCUGGGAAGAUGGAGACAUACCCCACACAAGGAUACUAAGGCUGGAGGAGCCCUGUCCAUGGUGCUGAAGGAUCAAAAGAAGAGGAUGGAGGGUUAAAAUUCCAGUGCCCUCUGGUCGGGGGCAGAUGUCUGAGGGCAGAGUGGGCCCAUUCAAUCUCCUUGGCCAAUAGAUUGAGGAGGAGGGGGGCUGGGAAGAAAAAGAGGGAGCGGGGAGGACAGCUGUCGGCCGGCAGAGCAGGGACUUAACCUGAGGCUGUUAAAAUGAGUCCCGAAUCGGUGUGCAUGGGUCAGGCAAGGACACAGCCAGCAUUCGAUGCUGCUGCUCUUAGCUCCCUGGCCUGUGUCCCUCAGCUGCACUUGGCCCUCUGAAGAGCAGGCAGGAAUUGUAACAGGGUGAAACCAGGACAGCAGCGCGCAAAGACAUCCAGGGGAAAGCAAUCUCAAAACACAGGAUUUUGCAGCAUGAACAGUCUGGGAUGACCAGGAUGCUGAGAAACCAGACCUGACAGCAGACAGCAAGUCAGAGUGGAUCUGGAGACUCGAGAGAAUGAACACAGCCUGUGCACAGAACUUAGCUUGAAGCCUCCCAGCAACCAUGGCAAGGAUGGAAGCAUGAGACCACGGCAGUGGAUUGUUCCUACCCACAGUUACAGAAAGGAUCACCUCCUAACUAUGAGCUAUGACAGGAAGUUGUCUCAUGUGUCUUGUCACCUCCCUUAAUCUUAAGAAUUUUCCAAGUUAACCUUUAACCCCUUCAUCUUAAUCUUUAGAAAGAAUUUUCCAAGGUUUUUUUUUUUUUUUUAAAAAUCACAUAAUCCUCAAAUGUCUUGGUGUACUCCACCGUCCAGUGGCUUCUUGUCU
rnacentral:lncRNA from 1 species